GACGAACGCUGGCGGCGUGCCUAAUACAUGCAAGUAGAACGCUGAAGGAGGAGCUUGCUCUUCUGGAUGAGUUGCGAACGGGUGAGUAACGCGUAGGUAACCUGCCUGGUAGCGGGGGAUAACUAUUGGAAACGAUAGCUAAUACCGCAUAAGAGUAGAUGUUGCAUGACAUUUACUUAAAAGGUGCAAUUGCAUCACUACCAGAUGGACCUGCGUUGUAUUAGCUAGUUGGUGGGGUAACGGCUUACCAAGGCGACGAUACAUAGCCGACCUGAGAGGGGGAUCGGCCACACUGGGACUGAGACACGGCCCAGACUCCUACGGGAGGCAGCAGUAGGGAAUCUUCGGCAAUGGACGGAAGUCUGACCGAGCAACGCCGCGUGAGUGAAGAAGGGUUUCGGAUCGUAAAGCUCUGUUGUAAGAGAAGAACGAGUGUGAGAGUGGAAAGUUCACACUGUGACGGUAGCUUACCAGAAAGGGACGGCUAACUACGUG
rnacentral:rRNA from 1 species